rnacentral:rRNA from 1 species
UCCUCCCUCUGGCGGCGUGCCUAAUACAUGCAAGUAGAACGAUGAAGGAGGAGCUUGCUUCUCUGGAUGAGUUGCGAACGGGUGAGUAACGCGUAGGUAACCUGCCUGGUAGCGGGGGAUAACUAUUGGAAAAGAUAGCUAAUACCGCAUAAGAGUAGAUGUCGCAUGACAUUUGCUUAUAAGGUGCAAUUGCAUCACUACCAGAUGGACCUGCGUUGUAUUAGCUAGUUGGUGAAGUAACGGCUCACCAAGGCAACGAUACAUAGCCGACCUGAGAGGGGGAUCGGCCACACUUGGACUGAGACACGGCCCAGACUCCUACGGGAGGCAGCAGUAGGGAAUCUUCGGCAAUGGACGGAAGUCUGACCGAGCAACGCCGCGUGAGUGAAGAAGGUUUUCGGAUCGUAAAGCUCUGUUGUAAGAGAAGAACGAGUGUGAGAGUGGAAAGUUCACACUGUGACGGUAGCUUACCAGAAAGGGACGGCUAACUACGUG